GGAGAGCCGUGGGCCCAGUGCCCGUUGCCUGCCUGUUGUUCCUGGGAGCCUACUACCAGGCCUGGAGCCAGCAACCAAGCUCAUGCCCGGAGGAUUGGCUCCAGGACAUGGAGCGCCUGUCAGAGGAGCUGCUGCUGCCACUGCUGAGUCAGCCCACACUGGGCAGCCUGUGGGAUUCCCUUAGGCACUGCUCCCUUCUCUGCAACCCGCUGUCCUGUGUGCCAGCCCUUGAAGCUCCCCCCAGCCUCGUGUCACUGGGCUGCUCGGGAGGCUGCCCCCGUCUCAGUCUGGCUGGCUCAGCCUCACCCUUCCCAUUCCUCACUGCCCUCCUCUCUCUUCUUAAUACCCUGGCCCAGAUCCACAAGGGGCUGUGUGGCCAGGUAAGUGUGGGGUGCCUGAUUAGGGGCCAGGCAAGGGGCCAAGAUGGCAGGAAUCAGAAAGAAAGUGGGAGGGUGGGAUGGGCGCGGUGGCUCACGCCUGUAAUCCCAGCACUUUGGGAGGCCGAGGUGGGCAGAUCACCUGAGGUCGGGAGUUCGAGACCAGCCUGGCCAACAUGGAGAAACCCCAUCUCUACUAAAAAUACAAAAUUAGCCAGGCAUGAUGGCACAUGCCUGUAAUCCCAGCUACUCGGGAGGCUGA
rnacentral:sRNA from 1 species